rnacentral:rRNA from 1 species
GAUGAACGCUGGCGGCGUGCUUAAUACAUGCAAGUCGAGCGAACAGACGAGGAUCUUGCUCCUCUGUCGUUAGCGGCGGACGGGUGAGUAACAUGUGUAUAACCUACCUAUCAUACUGGGAUAACUUCGGGAAACCGGCGCUUAUACCGUAUAAUAUAUUGCACCGCAUUGUUCAAUAGUGAAAUACGGUUUUGCUGUCUCUUAUAGCUGCAUCCGCGCCGCAUUAGCUAGUUGUUAAGUUAACGGCUUACCACGGCGAGGAGGCGUAGCCGACCUCAGAGGGUGGUAGACCACACGGGAGGUGAGACAGGGUCCAGACGACUACGAGAGGCAGCAGAAGGGAAUCUUACGCAAAGGGGGAGAGCAUGACAGAGCAACGGCGCGUGAGAGAUGAAGGUGUUGGGAUCGUAAAACUCUGUUAUUAGGGGAGAACAAAUGUGUAAGUAACUGUGCACGUAUUGACGGUACCGGAUCAAAAAGCCACGGCUAACUACGUG